rnacentral:rRNA from 1 species
CAGUAGCCGCGGGAAUACGGAGGGGGCUAGCGUUGUUCGGAAUUACUGGGCGUAAAGCGCACGUAGGCGGCUUUGUAAGUUAGAGGUGAGAGCCCGGAGCUCAACUCCGGAAUUGCCUUUAAGACUGCAUCACUUGAAUCGUGGAGAGGUGAGUGGAAUUCCGAGUGUAGAGGUGAAAUUCGUAGAUAUUCGGAAGAACACCAGUGGCGAAGGCGGCUCACUGGACACGUAUUGACGCUGAGGUACGAAAGCGUGGGGAGCAAACAGGAUUAGAUACCCCCGUAGUCCCUGUCUCUUAUAC